rnacentral:tRNA from 2 species
GCUCCUGUGGUGUAGUCCGGUCAAGCAUGUCGCCCUUUCAAGGCGGAGAUCCCGGGUCCAAAUCCCGGCGGGAGCACCU